CGCGCUGUCAAAGGAGAUAUCGUGGCCCCGCCUCGCGAGCCUGCCUCCCUCCUCUCUCGCCAGGUCCGUCUCCCUCCUCCUCUCUCCACCUUUCUCUCUCUGCCCUCCCCCGUGAUCUACCUGCCCCCGCCGGCCGCCAUCGCGCUCGGCGACCGCAUGACCACGCUCGUCUACGUCCGCAAGAUGAGGUAGCCUCGGUUCGGAAUCGGGGUAUCUCUGGAUCUCUACACCGUGCGCCUCUGCUCGCCUCGAUCGCGAGGGGGCACGGGGCUGUGAAUUGGGCGGGUCGGGAGGGCUGGAUUGGUGGGGAGAUUCGUUGAAUUGGGCGGAUUGGUUUGGGAUUCUGCUCGCUGAUUGGAUCGUCAGAUGCGUGUCAUUAUUGGGUCAAUGGGCUGCCUGAACUGGUGCGCCGAGAUGCUGUUCUAAUCUCAGCUACCCAACUACAUCCUGGAACUAGUGUCCUUGGGUUCGAUUAGAUCGUGAGUUCGCGCCUCCAGUACCGCCGUCGUUCUGAUCCGCUGAAUCUGCUAGCGCUAACCGCCUCUGGAUCUUCCCAGCAAGGAGAGCUCAUGUUGUUGGGUGCCUUGUGGAGCAUGAGAACAAGGUCCUACUUCGCAGAAGAAAGAUUGAGCCAGCUUAUGGCCUUUGCAAGUCGAGCUGCUCGUCCCGGAGACGCCGCCGUCCAGGGCCUUGUCUGUGUCGGCUCUAAAGGUACCUAGGGUUUUGCCGUGGCCGGCAAGGGCAGCCUGGAGCGCGUCCUGAACGAGGAGUACCACCUUAUCUGCAAGGAUAACGAGGAGAAGAACGGAAAGCUGUGGCCUUGUUCUUCGAAUCCAUUGUUUGUUGUUUAUCAGUCGCAACAAUGUGACAGUUAGAAUUUCUAUAGCAGAGCUCUGUUUAUGAUCAUCUUGUUAUAUGAUUGUCAAAAUAAGGGGUUAACUUGUUCAAUGCCAAGUGCAGAUCUGUACAUAGCAGUCCGAGAGUAAAGUGCAGUAAAUAGUUUCAUAUUUAUUUAAACUUCACUGCAAGAGAGCAUUGUUCUGCAGCACAAAAACUUUAGGAGAUUCUUUUAAAAUUCCUGUAGACUAUGUUUUUUUAAUAGGGACCUUUUUGUUA